GAACGCUAGCGGCAGGCUUAACACAUGCAAGUCGAGGGGCAGCGGGGAGGAAGCUUGCUUUCUCCGCCGGCGACCGGCGCACGGGUGAGUAACACGUAUGCAACCUGCCCCUGUCAGGGGGACAACCCGCCGAAAGGCGGGCUAAACCCGCGUACAUGCCACCGGGGCAUCCCGGAGGCAGGAAAGGCUUCGGCCGGACAGGGAUGGGCAUGCGGCGCAUUAGGCAGUAGGCGGGGUAACGGCCCACCUAACCGACGAUGCGUAGGGGUUCUGAGAGGAAGGUCCCCCACACUGGUACUGAGACACGGACCAGACUCCUACGGGAGGCAGCAGUGAGGAAUAUUGGUCAAUGGUCGGGAGACUGAACCAGCCAAGCCGCGUGAGGGAUGAAGGUACAGAGUAUCGUAAACCUCUUUUGUCAGGGAACAAAGGCGGGGACGUGUCCCCGGAUGAGUGUACCUGAAGAAAAAGCAUCGGCUAACUCCGUGCCAGCAGCCGCGGUAAUACGGAGGAUGCGAGCGUUAUCCGGAUUUAUUGGGUUUAAAGGGUGCGCAGGCGGUCUGUUAAGUCAGCGGUCAAAGCCCGGGGCUCAACCCCGGCCCGCCGUUGAAACUGGCAGUCUCGAGUUGGAGAGAAGUAUGCGGAAUGCGCGGUGUAGCGGUGAAAUGCAUAGAUAUCGCGCAGAACUCCGAUUGCGAAGGCAGCAUGCCGGCUCCACACUGACGCUGAGGCACGAAAGCGUGGGUAUCGAACAGGAUUAGAUACCCUGGUAGUCCACGCAGUAAACGAUGAAUGCUGGCUGUCCGGGGGGGAUUGACCCCUGGGUGGCGAAGCGAAAGCGAUAAGCAUUCCACCUGGGGAGUACGCCGGCAACGGUGAAACUCAAAGGAAUUGACGGGGGCCCGCACAAGCGGAGGAACAUGUGGUUUAAUUCGAUGAUACGCGAGGAACCUUACCCGGGCUCAAACGGGGAGUGACUCAGGCAGAGACGCCUGCUUCCCACGGGACACUCCCCGAGGUGCUGCAUGGUUGUCGUCAGCUCGUGCCGUGAGGUGUCGGCUUAAGUGCCAUAACGAGCGCAACCCCCGCGUGCAGUUGCUAACAGAUAACGCUGAGGACUCUGCACGGACUGCCGGCGCAAGCCGCGAGGAAGGCGGGGAUGACGUCAAAUCAGCACGGCCCUUACGUCCGGGGCGACACACGUGUUACAAUGGGUGGUACAGCGGGAAGCCAGGCGGCGACGCCGAGCGGAACCCGAAAUCCACUCUCAGUUCGGAUCGGAGUCUGCAACCCGACUCCGUGAAGCUGGAUUCGCUAGUAAUCGCGCAUCAGCCAUGGCGCGGUGAAUACGUUCCCGGGCCUUGUACACACCGCCCGUCAAGCCAUGGGAGCCGAGGGCGCUUGAAGU
rnacentral:rRNA from 1 species